UACGGAGGAUGCGAGCGUUAUCCGGAUUUAUUGGGUUUAAAGGGUGCGUAGGCGGACGCUUAAGUCAGCGGUAAAAUUGCGGGGCUCAACCUCGUCGAGCCGUUGAAACUGGGUGUCUUGAGUGGGCGAGAAGUACGCGGAAUGCGUGGUGUAGCGGUGAAAUGCAUAGAUAUCACGCAGAACUCCGAUUGUGAAGGCAGCGUACCGGCGCCCAACUGACGCUGAAGCACGAAGGCGUGGGUAUCGAACAGG
rnacentral:rRNA from 1 species